rnacentral:rRNA from 1 species
UACAGAGGGUGGCAAGCGUUGUUCGGAAUUACUGGGCGUAAAGGGCGCGUAGGCGGUUCGAUAAGUCCCGUGUGAAAGCCCCCGGCUCAACUGGGGAACUGCACGGGAAACUGACGGACUUGAGUUCGGGAGAGGGAAGCGGAAUUCCGGGUGUAGCGGUGAAAUGCGUAGAUAUCCGGAGGAACACCGGUGGCGAAGGCGGCUUCCUGGACCGACA